rnacentral:rRNA from 1 species
AUUGAACGCUGGCGGCAGGCCUAACACAUGCAAGUCGAACGAGUGGCGGACGGGUGAGUAAUGUCUGGGAAACUGCCUGAUGGAGGGGGAUAACUACUGGAAACGGUAGCUAAUACCGCAUACCAUCAGAUGUGCCCAGAUGGGAUUAGCUAGUUGGUGGGGUAACGGGGCCCGAAGGCGACGAGCCCUAGCUGGUCUGAGAGGAUGACCAGCCACACUGGAACUGAGAACCGGUCCAGACUCCGAGAGGAGGCAGCAGUGGGGAAUAUGGCACAAUGGGCGAAGGCCUGAUACAGCCAUGCCGCGUGUAUGAAGAGGGCCUUCGGGUUUUAAAGUACUUACAGCGGGGAGGCGUUACCCGCAGAAGAAGCGCCGGCUAACUCCGUGCCAGCAGCCGCGGUAAUAC